GUUAACAUAGUUUAAUAAAACAUUAG
rnacentral:tRNA from 1 species